CUAUAAAUUUUUAAACUAAUGUUUUUAUCUUCAACUUUUCAUUGAUCAUAUGAAACUAUCUUCAAAGAUAUGUUAAAGAGAGACCGAUUAAGUGUUGCAAUAAUUUUCAACUAUUUUAAUAAUUUACAAAUAUCAUAUCAACCAUAACCAAACUCUGUUUGACGGUUGUUUGGCACUUAUUUGAAUCAAUAUUGUCCAAAACUUUAAGUACUUUGCAGUCAAAUGUGAUAGUAUUUUGGAUCAAAUGGAACAUUCUCUAAUACUCACGUUUAUAAGGUAAAGGGCAAGAAUUUCCUUCUGAGUAAAUUAUACCCCAUUUUUAAUAUACCUCAGAAUAUGUAUAUCAUAUGUUUCUAAAAUUCUGCAAAAUAGUAAGAUCGUUUAAUUAUAUACAUUUAUAGGGUUAGGUAAUUAGCUAAGCUUAUUAAAUUAAUAUGAUGUUAUAUUGUAAGUAUUGCAUUAGUGCUUAAGGGCCUAAACCACAUAUCUAUGCAUGUAGCAGUCUAAAGCGCUAGGGAGGGCUGGGAUUGAACCUUUGGGUAGUGUAAUUUUAAACCCUAUUUAAUUCCUUUGCAUUACCACACUUGGGAGAUAGGGUGGGCUCUCAGUUUUCGUUCCAAAUCGAGGCCAGUUUGGUGUGGGGAAGGUGGACUGAGCGCUAGAGGGAGGAAGAAUUGUUGAGGGAGUUUGGGUAAGAAUUUAUGGUAGAAGAAACGAAAAGGAAAAUGAAAGGAAGAAUGAGAAAGUGAAUAAGAUAUGUGGAAGAAGAGAAAGAAGCAAAAGGAGAAGAAGAGGAAGAGGUAAGAAAUAGUAUUUUGGGAAAUGUUCAUUUAUGUUUAAAUUUCCUAAAUUAAAUUCCUUAAUUUGAUGUUUAGGUUUCCAGUUUAAAAGCAAGAGAAUUUUGAAGAUUUGAGAGGGGUAUGAGGAGAGGAAACUUAGAGGUAAGUGUUAUUUUUGGGAUAAUGAAAUUAUAUGUAUAUUAUUAUUUUGGAAAUGUUCAUUUAUAUGUAAAGUUCAUAAAUUAAAUUCCUUAAUUUGAUAUUUAGGUUUUAAGUUUAUAAGCAAGAGAAUUUUGAAGAUUCGAGAGGUCUAUGAGGAGAGGAAACUUGGAGUUAAGUGUUAUUUUUAGAAUAGCGAACUUAUAUGUAUAUUGUUAUGAAAAAAAAUCAAAAUAGAAAAAUAUGUUGUGCAAGUGGUUAAAUCAAGAAAUUUUGAAUUAAUAUAGGUAACGGACUUGAGUAGGAGAAUCAAAGGUGUUAAAAUUUUCAAAGCAGCUGGGAGCGGAUGUAAGAUAUGCAAUUUUAAUAUAGUAUGCCAAUAGUUUAAUUUCAUCAGUAUACUUGUAUUUGAAUUGAUUGUGCGGGAUUUAUGUCCUCGUACUCUUGGAUGUUGAGAUUAGCCUGAAAUUAUGAUCAAUGGUCAUGCGGUGAUUGUAUCAUAUGAUUCAUACAUUCUUACAUGCUUAUAUGCUAAUACAACAAAUAGGCGUAUCAACUUAUAUGCAAGUGCAUAAUUAUAAAUAUAGUUAAAUGCCUGCAUCCCUAAGAGGAAAUUAAAAAAAAAAAAAGAGAUGAUCAGAUAAGCCAAAGAAAAUUUCAUGUUAGGUGAGAGGUUGGAGGGGCAAUGCGACCCUGAUGGGUAGUGUGAUCCAAUAGAGGCAGUGUGACCUUGUAGGGAUAGUGCGACCUCAAUAUACUACCUCAAAGGCUAUCAGUGCAGCGCUCCAAUUCAAAUAUUUCAUUUUAAAAUACGUUUUCAUAUUUUGAGUUGUUACAAUAAUCGUGUGACAGAUAUUAAUACUAAAGUGAGAUUUCUUCUAGCGGAUGAUGCAUUUUAACUGAAUAGGUUUGGGGCAUAAUUAUGGCUCCCAGCAUUUUUUUUGGUUAAAUUUUUAGAGUUUCCAUUGAGAUGGUAGUUUUGGGUUUUUUGCAUUUAAUGGUUCAUUAUUACUUGGUGGUGUGUAAUUAGGUUUCCAGUUGAUAUUUGUUUUGUUGAUUGAGGUUGUCUUUCUUUUGUUAGUUCAUUGAAAAUCUUCUUGAUGAAGGCACCAAGAGUCCUCGCACUAUGCGUCUUUCUGCUUUGCAUCUGACAGGGUUAUGGCUUCGACAUCCCAGAACACUCAAAUAUUAUAUAAAAGAAUUGAAGUUGCUGUCCCUAUAUGGCUCUGUGGCUUUUGAUGAGGAUUUUGAAGCUGAAUUAAGUGAAAAUCACGAAGCCAAAAUUGAAUUUCCAUUGUUAGCUCAAAGUCCUGAUCCUGAGUUGACCGAAGGCAAGGAUGUUUAACUAGAAUUAUUCUAUUCGUAUCAUGGACAUUAA